CACAGAUGCAGUGAGUUGAAUUGGGCGAGUUACCAUGGUAUUCCUACCCUUAAAAUGUCCGAUGCAACAAACAUCAGAAUUCACUCUUCUUCUGCAGCCAUUUGGAUCUGAAUAUCACCUGGUUUGACCCC